UAUUGGGUUCGAUGGCGUAAGGCUCAUCGAAAAUAAACCUUACAAGCAAAUAAAAUAGGGAGCUGUCCCUGACAAUGGUGUGCAAGCCCAGCACGUACUGGGAAGCCUAAAGUUGUUAUAAUGGUCGCCCACUUUAAUACUGAGGUUUAUUUCAGAGUUGCCUUCGAGCCUUUAUU
rnacentral:other from 1 species